GCGUUGAUGAUGAAACCUCAUUCUAUCUUGAAGAGAGAUGAUGACUUAAAAAUUAUGCUCAAUAGGAUUAUUCUGAGGCCC
ensembl:snoRNA SNORD115 Small nucleolar RNA SNORD115